rnacentral:tRNA from 1 species
UACCCCGUGGUGUAAUUGGCAACACAGCUGAUUUUGGUUCAGCCAUUCUAGGUUCAAGUCCUAGCGGGGUAAC